UACAGAGGUGGCAAGCGUUGUUCGGAAUUACUGGGCGUAAAGGGCGCGUAGGUGGCCUUUUGAGUCAGACGUGAAAUCCCCCGGCUUAACCUGGGAACUGCGUCUGAUACUGGAAGGCUUGAGUUCGGGAGAGGGAUGUGGAAUUCCAGGUGUAGCGGUGAAAUGCGUAGAGAUCUGGAGGAACACCCGUGGCGAAGGCGGCUCCCUGGUCCGGUUCUGACGCUGAGACGCGAAAGCGCGGGGAGCGAACGGG
rnacentral:rRNA from 1 species